rnacentral:rRNA from 1 species
AUUGAACGCUGGCGGCAGGCCUAACACAUGCAAGUCGAGCGGAGCGGCGGACGGGUGAGGAAUGCCUAGGAAUCUGCCUGGUAGUGGGGGAUAACGUCCGGAAACGGGCGCUAAUACCGCAUACUAUCAGAUGAGCCUAGGUCGGAUUGGCUAGUGGGAGGGGUAAAGGCAUACAAAGGCGACGAUCGUGAACUGGUCUGAGAGGAUGAUCAGUCACCUGGGAACUGAGACACGGUCCAGAUUCCUCCGGUAGGCAGCAGUGGGAAAUAUUGGACAAUGGGCGAAAGCCGGAGCCAGCCAUGCCGCGUGUUUGAAGAAGGUCUUCGGAUUGUAAAGCACGUUAAGUUGGGAGGCGUUACCAACAGAAUAAGCACCGGCUAACUUCGUGCCAGCAGCCGCGGUAAUUC